CCCACUGAAAUUUUCAGUUUAUAAUUCUUUAUUCUUUCUCUUAACUUCUUAAAAACACAAACCACACUAAGAACUUUGCAGAGGAUAAUAGAUCUGGUUUUAUUUUUCACUUACCUUCUUUUCUUCUCCGCCGAAGAAGUUUGCAUAGGUUCGCUUCUCUUACCCUGUCUCCAUCUUGUCUGAUCAAAAGGAGUCAAUCGAAGGAGCUAAAGGAGGAAACUUUCGGGUGAAUCCAGACUUUUUCUUUGUAUUCACUACUGUGAUUAAAAAAAAUAAAUUUGAUUUUCUUUAGUUUCAAUUUCUUAGGGUUUACUCAAAAGUUUUAUUUUCUUUAAUUUUUUGAGGGAUUGUGUUAUGGAUUUUUUGUUUAAUUUCUUAGUGUUUGUGUUAUAGAUUCAUGGUUUAGAAAUGAAAUCUGGAAAUGGGUUUCUGUUGAUGGAACUAAAAAAAUUGUGGUUUCAAUUUUGAAUUUCUUA